rnacentral:rRNA from 1 species
UAAAAUAAUUAAGGGCACAUAGGGAAUGCCUAGGUAGUAAGAGCCGAUGAAGGACGUGGUAAGCUGCGAUAAGCUCAGGGUAGUUGCAAUCGAACGUUGAUCCUGAGAUUUCCGAAUGGAGCAAUCCGCUAAGUUGAAGACUUAGCACGAAAGAGGGUACCGCGUGAACUGAAACAUCUAAGUAACGCGAGGAAAAGAAAGUAAAAACGAUUCCCCAAGUAGCGGCGAGCGAACGGGGAUGAGCCCAAACCGCAUAAAUGCCAAGGAUGCAGCCGUUGUUUAUGCGGGGUUGUGGGAAGAACUACGAGGAACUGCAACGUACUCAACAAUGUUAAUGACUGAACUGGAACUAGUUGGAAAGCUAGAUCGUAGAAGGUGAUAAUCCUGUACAGGUAAACUCAUUAACUUGUCCGUUCUCUCCCAAGUAACAUGGAACACGAGGAAUUCUGUGUGAAUCUGCGAGGACCAUAUCUCGUAAGGCUAAAUACUCUUACUAACCGAUAGCGUAUAGUACCGUGAGGGAAAGGUGAAAAGAACCCCGGGAGGGGAGUGAAAUAGAACCUGAAACUAUGUGCUUACAAGCGGUCAGAGCCCGCAAGGGUGAUGGCGUGCCUUUUGGAGAAUGAUCCUGCGAGUUACGUUCAGUGGCAAGGUUAAGUUUAACGGAGCCGAAGGGAAACCGAGUCUGAACAGGGCGAUUUUAGUCGCUGGGCGUAGACGCGAAACCUGGUGAUCUAAGCCUGUCCAGGGUGAAGCUGUGGUAAGACACAGUGGAGGCCCGAACUCACCGCCGUUGAAAAGUUGGGAGAUGAGGUAGGUUUAGGGGUGAAAAGCCAAUCGAACUAGGAGAUAGCUCGUUCUCUCCGAAAUGCAUUUAGGUGCAGCCUUGAGUGUUUAAUUAUGGGGGUAGAGCACUGAAUGGACUAGGGGGCGCAUUGCUUACUGAAUCCAAUCAAACUCCGAAUACCAUAAUUCAAGAGCUCAGGAGUGAGACUAUGGGAAUUAACUUCCAUUGUCAAAAGGGAAACAACCCAGACCACCAGCUAAGGUCCCUAAUCAUAACUAAGUGGGAAAGGAGGUGGAGAUUCAUAAACAACCAGGAGGUUGGCUUAGAAGCAGCCAUACCUUUAAAGAGUGCGUAAUAGCUCACUGGUCGAGAGUCUCUGCGCCGACAAUGUAACGGGGCUAAGUUAUGAACCGAAGCUGUGGAAUUGCGCAAGCAAUUGGUAGGAGAGCGUUCUGUAGGCCGUUGAAGGAGAAGCGUAAGCAACUCUGGAGGUAUCAGAAGUGAGAAUGCAGGAAUAAGUAGCGAGAAGGGAGGCGAGAAUCCUCCCCGCCGGAAGACCAAGGUUUUCAGGGUAAAGCUUGUCUUCCCUGAGUAAGCCGGGACCUAAGCCGAGGCUAUAGUGCGUAGGCGAAUGGAAAACAGAUUAAUAUUUCUGUGCCAGUCAUAUUUUGUGAUGGAGGGACGCAGAAGGGUAUGUACGCGGAAGAACGGUAGUUUCCGUAAAAGCAUGUAGAAUGACUUGAUAGGUAAAUCCGUCAAGUUAGAUUUGAGGUGUGAUAUAUAGUCGUAAGAUGAAUGUACAAAUCCCACGCUGCCGAGAAAAGCUUCUAACGUUAAGGUAUGACUGCCCGUACCCGAAACCGACACAGGUGGUCAGGAUGAGAAAUCUAAGGCGGACAGGCUAACUCUCGUUAAGGAACUCUGCAAAAUUGCCCCGUAACUUCGGGAGAAGGGGUGCCCCUGAGUGUGAGCAUACACGCGAUGUUAAGCGCUUGGGGGUCGCAGUGAAGAGGCUCAAGCAACUGUUUAACAAAAACACAGGUCUAUGCUAAGCUGUAAGGCGAUGUAUAUGGGCUGACACCUGCCCAGUGCCGGAAGGUUAAGAGGAGGAGUGAGAGCUCCGAAUUGAAGCCCCGGUGAACGGCGGCCGUAACUAUAACGGUCCUAAGGUAGCGAAAUUCCUUGUCGGGUAAG